GAUGAAGAACGCAGCGAAAUGCGAUAAGUAAUGUGAAUUGCAGAAUUCAGUGAAUCAUCGAAUCUUUGAACGCACAUUGCGCCCGCCAGUAUUCUGGCGGGCAUGCCUGUUCGAGCGUCAUUACAACCCUCAGGCCCCCGGGCCUGGCGUUGGGGAUCGGGAGCCCCCCGUGGGCACACGCCGUCCCCCAAAUGCAGUGGCGGUCCCGCCGCAGCUUCCAUCGCGUAGUAGCUAACACCUCGCGACUGGAGAGCGGCGCGGCCACGCCGUAAAACACCCAACUCUUCUGAAGUUGACCUCGAAUCAGGUAGGAAUACCCGCUGAACUUAAGCAUAUCAAUAAGCGGAGGA
rnacentral:misc_RNA from 1 species